UGCUUACUCUGAGAGAUUAAAUGCGACCAGUGGCUAGAGAGGAACAUUCUGUCCCAAGAGGGAGAAUCAGAAAGGACUGGUUAUAUAAAAGGACCAAACAGGCAGGACAAAACUGCGUAUGCAAAUCCCAGAGAUUCCCAAGGGCGGCAAAUGGUCUUCUGAACCCAUCAGAGUUUCCUGAGUUGGGGAACUGGAGUCUUGCCAUCUGCAAGGUCGCCGCUGCAUGGAAAAAGAAAAACUUUCAACUUCUGAAAUGAGAGGUUUCACAUGAAAGUAAUGCCUUGUUCCUAUUUGAAGCCCUGACGACGCACCUUCCCUCCCUGGCUCCGUUCGUUGAUCUGAUUGAACAGCCUCGAGAUCAAAGGCGCAUGGGUAAAUGUGCAGACAAGGUGGCAGUAUGCAGAACGGGGCGCUGAUAAGAAAGCUGUUUAAAUAAUUGCACAAGAAUUUAUUGGGCAACGUGAUUAAUGUUUAUGGAAAUAUGAUGACCUGAUAGCAAAGGGGAGCAUGAUAUGAUUGAUGGAGCAAGCUUUCCCCAGCCAGACUUACCCUCCACGUGCAUGGAAAGUCAUAAUUAUUUGCUCAAGAUCUUUACUUUUUCAUACCUUGCUAGGAGAGGCUGAAUGACAAAAUAUAUGGCAUGCAUUAAAGGAGAGCUUAUAUUUUUC
rnacentral:lncRNA from 11 species